GAAAAGUUACAAAUGAAUUAUUAGUUAUUGAUUACGUAGAGUGAUAAUACACUUAAUUAUUUAUCAUUGUCCAAUUAACUAAGAAAACUCUGUAUAGUCAAGUAGCAAUUUAGACCCAUGCUCAACAUGUUCAAUCAAGAUAACAAAUGAUGAUGUCUUUUCAUAUUAAUUUGAGUAUUUAAAUGAUUUUUAUUCAAUUGUUUUAUUUAAUUGCUAAUCACUUAUAUUAAUAGUUACCCAAUUUUCUUCAGCUUUUAGUUGCAAUGUUAAUAUUUAACUGAUUUUUUACCAUUAGCCUGGACCUUUAAAUUAAUUCAGUUCGAUUGUGAAUUCAUCUUAUUAAGUUUUCAUCAUAUGUAGUUUAACGGUGUUCAUCUAGAUUAUAUUGUUACUUUAAUCCUCGUAAUCAAGUUGGUUAUUAGUUAAUUUUUCCAUUACUAGUGCAUCAGUGGAAACGUCUACAAUGUAUAAAAAAGAUCCAUCAGCAGGAGAAGGAAGCGGAAGUGUCACAAACUGUGAUGUCGAUGGAAGCAUAAAUUGCGACAUUGGAAUAAAAAACGAAAGGAAAAGUUCAACUUUUCUAAUACUUGAUCGAAGUUUAAAUGGAUCAAGAGUAGGCAGAGAAUUAGAAACUAUGUCGGUGAUGAAAAAUUCAACCAAUAAAUCACAAGAAAAUAAUAAACAACCAGUUGUUCAAUUUAAAAAGAAGACUUCGAAUCAGAACUUUUUUCCUUGUCUUGUAGAACCGAGUCAAACUCCUACAAAUGGUUUAGCCCAAGAUGAACCAUGGGCUCAAUCAAGACUAGUACAAAGUUCAUCGCCAUCUUAUACUGAUCAUCGAAAGCAAGAAAGUGAUGAUUCCUGUAAUUUAGACCAUAAAAGUGCCAUUGGUGUGUCAAUAAAAGUCGAGUCGAUAUCUAAUAACCUUGAACCAGAUUGUUCAACAAAUUAUCGGAAUUCAGUUCAAUCAACUUCAUCAUGUUCAUAUCUAACAUCAUCAACCAGAGCUCGAAUUAAAAAUGAAACAGAAUUGCCAAUCUCAUCAUCAUCUUUACAAACCCAACCAUCUAGUACAUUGAAUUUGAAUGUUUACCAUCAUAUAAUUGACACUAAUUCAACGCAAAUCAACAUGAUAAAUGAAAAGCGCAUGAAACAAUUAGCAUUAAAUUCAAUGGAGGAAACUCGACUCAUUGAACUCACGUUAGCCUAUGGGGCUCUUGAUGAGCCUUCGGCCUGCCCAUUGACCACUAAGGAUAAUUUAUUGCUAAUUAUUGAUUAUUACAAUGGUUUAGUUGAUUAUUUACUCUUAAUGGCCCAAAAACUAAGCACAUUCGUCGAGCUUCCCGUUGAAGAUAAAAACCGUUUGGUCCGAGGUACUUUCGCUGAUAUAUUAUCAAUGAGAGGCUCUUUCGUAUUUGAUUUGGACAAUUUACUUUGGAUGGUGAAGGGAAAGGGAAUGACAGUUAAACUAGAAGACAUAAUCCAUUUCGAUAACACGAAUCCCGAGGCUUAUCUUGAAUUUGUAAAGUCUAUUGAUCCACUUUGGAGGAAAAAUAUAAUUAUCAAUCAACUAAUUGUUGCGAUUAUGCUGUUCAAAUAUGACUUACCCAAUCUUCAAUCACACGAGACAAUAAGGUUAGAGUAUUGUACUUAUGUCUAUUUACUUGAACGGUAUUUGGAAUCGAGUCUUAAUUUUAGUGAUCAACCAAGAGAAAUGUUGUUCAAUAUUUUGGAUAAAAUUUCCCGUUUACAAUUAAUCGUUGGCAAUUCAGUUCGGUUAACAAUUAAAGGUCAACCUCGCAAAGAUGCUAUAAUGGGUAGGGCAGUUUCGCUUUUUACUCCUGAUUAACUGCAAUUAAAUAAUUGGCAAGGUGAUUCUACAAGUCGUUUUAAUUUUACUAGUAAAUCGGGUGGUUAAUCUGAUUGAAUCAAUUUCAUGAUAUAUCGGUUGUAUGAAACCUCAUUCAUUAUUCAGUCUCUGAAUAUAUUGAUUGGUUUUCUAUCCACUGUUAACGCAAUUUUUGUGAUACUCAUUUAUUAUUAACAAUUAUUAUUAAUAUUAACAUCCUGGUGGAUGCGAUGAUUUAACGUCUUUGCUACAGUUUAUGUGCUGUAGCUCCUCCUGAGGAGGAAAAAGUUGUACCAGACAACUUAGAGUGGAGGGAAAUUACAAUAAGUAAAAAUUAACAAAUUAGAUUAGUUGAUUAAUGGUUAGUUUGAUUGUCCCAAGAUCCAAUUUGAUGAUUGUAAAUAUUAAUAAUUAUCAAGGGUUGAGAUGAAAGUGAAGAUGAGAUCCAAAAAAUAGUUUAACUCAUUGGGUAUGAUACAAAGAAAAGGAGAAAAUAAAAUUACAAUUUCAAUCUUUUAAUGAAGAAAAAAAUGAAAAUUUGUUAAUUACUCUGGAAAAGUGAUUCCAAUCACUAUCAUGGUUUACAAUGAAUGAUUAUAUGAAUUUUUAAUGAUUUGAAUCUGGAAAUUAACCACCAAGUAUAUCAACACCGAUUGUUAAUUGUUGUAGUAAUCAAAUACAAUCAAUGUGAUUAGACGCACCUUAAUUGUCUAUUUUGAAUGAUAAAAUCUAAUAACUAUGAACACGUUCACAUGAGAGGCGAUUUUUUCAAAUGUUCAAGUUUUUUUUCAAUUUAAAUACGAAAUGAAUUAAAUCAUUAAUCACAUAGAGAGGUAAAAAACUGACGAAAUGGAGCUAAAAAGUUUCAGAUCAACUUGUGAUUGGUGAAUGAUAAUAAUCAACUAAUUGCAUAGAGAAUGCGAAAAAGUUAAUUGUUUAUCAUGGUCUAAUUAACAGAGACCAAUCUUUAUAGCUAAGUAGUAAUUUAGAUACAUGCUCAAUAUGUUCAAUCAAGAUAAUUAUCAAUAACAAAUGAUGAUAAUUUAGUGUUCUUAUUAUGAGUAUUUAAGCGAUCAUUGUGCUUUUGCUAUAAUUAUUUGUUAAUUUAAUUGUUAAUCACUUAGAGUUACCUAAUUUUCCCCAAUCCAUAGUUUCAAUGUUAAUAUUUAACUGAUUGUUUAACGUUUACCUGGACUUUUAAAUCAACUCAGUUUGAUUGAGAAUUCAAUUUUUUAUAAUGUUUCUCAUCUCAACUCAUAAUUAGUAAAUUUUCUCAUAAUAGUAUUACUGUGUUUAUCUAAAUUGUAUUGUUAAUCCUCGUAAUCAAUUUGAUUAUUAGUUAAUUUUUCCAUUACAUGAUGAGUAUCUGUGGAAAAACGCCUAAAAUAAUAAAAACAGAAGAAGGAAGCGGAAAUAGCACAAACUGUGAUGUCGAUGGAAGCAUAAAUUGUGACAUUGGAAUAAAAAGCGAAAGGAAAAGUUCAACUUUUCUAAUACUUGAUCGAAGUUUAAAUGGAUCAAAAAUAGAUAGAGAAUUGGAAACUGUGUCGGUGAUGAAAAAUUCAACUAAUAAAUCACAUGGGAUUAAUAAAAAAUCAGUGUUUCAACUUAAAAAGAAGAUUUCAAAUCAGAACUUGCAACCUCGUCUUGUAAAAUCAAAUAAAACACCUAAAAGUAAUUCAGUCCAACGUGGGUCUUUUCAAUCAAGUCUAAUACAAAGAUCGUCAUCAUCAUCAUCAUCAACAAGAUCUCCUGAUCAUCGAAAGCAAGAAAGUGAUGAUUCCUGUAAUUUAGACCAUAAAAGUGCCAUUGGUGUGUCAAUAAAAGUCGAGUCGAUAUCUAAUAACCUUGAACCAGAUUGUUCAACAAAUUAUCGGAAUUCAGUUCAAUCAACUUCAUCAUGUUCAUAUCUAACAUCAUCAACCAGAGCUCGAAUUAAAAAUGAAACAGAAUUGCCAAUCUCAUCAUCAUCUUUACAAACCCAACCAUCUAGUACAUUGAAUUUGAAUGUUUACCAUCAUAUAAUUGACACUAAAUCAACGCAAAUCAACAUGAUAAAUGAAAAGCGCAUGAAACAAUUAGCAUUAAAUUCAAUGGAGGAAACUCGACUCAUUGAACUCACGUUAGCCUAUGGGGCUCUUGAUGAGCCUUCGGCCUGCCCAUUGACCACUAAGGAUAAUUUAUUGCUAAUUAUUGAUUAUUACAAUGGUUUAGUUGAUUAUUUACUCUUAAUGGCCCAAAAACUAAGCAAAUUCGUCGAGCUUCCCGUUGAAGAUAAAAACCGUUUGGUCCAAGGUACUUUGGUUGAUAUAUUAUCAAUGAGAAGCACGUUCGCGUUUGAUUUGGACAAUUUACUUUGGAUGGUGAAGGGAAAGGGAAUGACAGUUAAACUAGAAGACAUAAUCCAGUUCGAUACAUCAUAUCACGAGGAUUAUCUUGAAUUUGUCAAAUCUUUUGAUCCACUUUGGAAGAAAAAUAUAAUUAUCAAUCAACUAAUUGUUGCGAUUAUGCUGUUCAAGUAUGACUUACCCAAUCUUCAAUCACACGAGACAAUAAGGUUAGAGUAUUGUACUUAUGUCUAUUUACUUGAACGGUAUUUGGAAUCGAGUCUUAAUUUUAGUGAUCAACCAAGAGAAAUGUUGUUCAAUAUUUUGGAUAAAAUUUCCCGUUUACAGUUAAUUGCUGGUAAUUCUUUUCGGUUAACAAUUAAAGGUCAACCUCGCAAAGAUGCUAUUAUUGGGAGGGCAGUUUCCAUUCUUACUCCUGAUUAACUGCAAUUAAAUAAUUGGCAAGGUGAUUCUGCAAGUCCACUUACUUUUAGAUCAGGCGGUUAAUCUGAUUGAAUCAAUUUCAUGAUGUAUUAGUUGUAUGAAACUUCAUUCAUCAUUCAGUCUCUGAAUAUAUCGAUUGGUUUUCUAUUCACUCAAAACAAAUUAAUUCAUUCAUAUUUUGUAAAUUCAUAUUGAGAUUUUUUGGUUGUAUUUCAAUUACCCAAAUUUUUUCAUUAAACGUAACAAUUUACUGAUUGUUUAUUGUUUUACUUUUGUUAGUUUCUUUUAUCAUUCUGGUUUAUAGUCUAAUAUUGUUCAAGUGGUGGUCUUAAUUGUUUACUCCUAAUCUAAAUCUCCUGGUUUCUGUUGUAACUUUUUUUUAUGUAUUAAUACAUUUGAUAUUUACAUACACAUAUCAUAAUCAU